rnacentral:tRNA from 1 species
UGGGGUAUCGUCCAGCGGUUAGGACGUCUGCUUUUGGAGCAGAAGACGGUGGUUCGAUUCCAUCUACCCCAA